CACGGGGGGAGCAAGCGUUGUUCGGAUUUACUGGGCGUAAAGGGCGCGUAGGCGGCCACCGCAAGUCGACUGUGAAAUCUCCGGGCUUAACCCGGAAAGGUCAGCCGAUACUGCGGGGCUAGAGUGCAGAAGGGGCAACUGGAAUUCUCGGUGUAGCGGUGAAAUGCGUAGAUAUCGAGAGGAACACCUGCGGCGAAGGCGGGUUGCUGGGCUGACACUGACGCUGAGGCGCGAAAGCUAGGGGAGCGAACGGG
rnacentral:rRNA from 1 species